CGAGUUGGCCGGGCGGCCGCGGCCCACGCUGGUCAACCAGCCGGGUCGAGGAAAGUCCGGACUUCACAGAGCAGGGUGAUUGCUAACGGCAAUCCGGGGUGACCCGCGGGAAAGUGCCACAGAAAACAGACCGCUACCUGGUAGUAAGGGUGAAACGGUGCGGUAAGAGCGCACCAGCAUUCCGGGUGACCGGGAUGGCUUGGCAAACCCCACCCGAAGCAAGGCCAAGAAGGCCGCAGCCUGGCUGCGGUCGCGCAGACGUUCGAGGGUUGCUCGCCCGAGUCUGCGGGUAGGCCGCUUGAGGCACCCGGCGACGGUGUGUCCAGAUGGAUGGUCGCCGCCGCGCCACCGUAUUGCGGGGGCGCGGAACAGAAUCCGGCUUACAGGCCAACUCGUUCG
rnacentral:RNase_P_RNA from 2 species